CUUCCUUUUUCAGGCUUCUACUACUCACUGUCCAGUUUCUGGUUUUCUUGCAUAUUGUCCCUCAGAUUUCAGUCCUUCGCCCCUGCUUUUUAGUUUCGCGGUCAAGGAGAACGGUUGCUGUGUUUUAGAACGCAGUGGGUACGUCAAAAAGUAUGCAGGAGAGGAAGAACAAGGUUCAAGCAAGUGUGGCUGGUCUGGUUGAAAGAAAAUAAAAGACGGUAAAUAAAAUUCACCAGAGACCACAUAGCCAGAGAAGGACAAGCUGGGUUUUGAAUCUAGGCAAUCUUGACCCCAGAGCCCUCCAGCCUAAAGGUCUGUGCGCUAAGUUGACUCUACUUCAAGUUCAGCAAAUCAUUCAGGUCUUCCCAGAAGCAAGGAAAGAAGCAUUAGAUUCUAUUAGGUAUAUGGAAAUUCCCCAGCCAGGGAUUGAAUCUGAGAUGCAGCUGCAACCUCUGCCACAGCUGUGACAAUGCUGGAUCCUUAACCCACUGUGCUGGGCUGGGGAUUGAACCCACACCUCAGCAACCACCCAAGCUACUGAAGAGACAACAUGGGAUCCUUAACCAACUGUGCCACAGCAGGAACUCCAAACUCAACAUUUUGAUGGGAGAGCAGCAAGUUACAUUGCAGAAGUGCAUGUGAAUGGAAGCUAUUAUUGUGGCCAUCUCUGGAAAAUGUAAUCUGCUACAGCAGGGAUUUGGCAGGAGUGCUCUGAAAUUGUGGACUAAUUUGUCAUAUGUUUACAUCUUUUUCUGAAGAGAAUCUUGAAUAUUCAUAAGAUUCUGCAAGGAAUCUGACCAAAAAAGGAAAACAAAUCAAUCACUGAUCUAGGUAGAUUGUGAUCUAUUAUAUAAUUGAGUUUAUUCUGUACUUUAAUAUUCCUUUAAAGGCUAUUUAAUCUCUGCCACUAACUUGGAAUUGUUCAGCAUCUAGUUGUGAUUCAUUAAUAAAAUCAUCCAAUUACAUUUUUUAAAAACAAGUCAGAAUAAUUCCCACAGUGAAAGUGUCCAGAAGUUAAUGAAACUCAGUAGAUACACAUACACUCACAUACAUGUAUAAAAAUAUGCUCUGAGAGUUCCCAUUGUGGCUCAGCAGUAACAAACCCACCUAGUAUCCAUGAGGACGUGGGUUUGAUCCCUGGCCUCACUCAGUGGGUUAAGGGUCCGUUGUUGCUAUGAGCUGUGGUGUAGGUCAGAGACAUGGCUCAGAUGCGUGUUGCUGUGGCUGUGGUGUAGGCUGGCAGGGACAGCUCUGAUUCAACCCCUAGCCUGGGAACUUCCGUAUGUUAUGGGUGCAGCCAUUAAAAAAAAAAAAAAAAA
ensembl:lncRNA